UCAAGCGAACAAGUGCAUGUGGUGGAUGCCUUGGCGAUCACAGGCGAUGAAGGACGCGGUAGCCUGCGAAAAGCUACGGGGAGCUGGCAAACGAGCUUUGAUCCGUAGAUGUCCGAAUGGGGAAACCCGGCCCUUUUGGGUCAUCCUAGACUGAAUACAUAGGUCUAGUGAAGCGAACGCGGUGAACUGAAACAUCUAAGUAACCGCAGGAAAAGAAAUCAACCGAGAUUCCCAAAGUAGUGGCGAGCGAAAUGGGAAGAGCCUGUACUCUUUAUUUGUAUUGUUAGCCGAACGCUCUGGAAAGUGCGGCCAUAGCAGGUGAUAGCCCUGUAGGCGAAAACAGUAUGAAAGAACUAGGUGUACGACAAGUAGGGCGGGACACGUGAAAUCCUGUCUGAAGAUGGGGGGACCAUCCUCCAAGGCUAAAUACUCGUGAUCGACCGAUAGUGAACCAGUACCGUGAGGGAAAGGCGAAAAGAACCCCGGGAGGGGAGUGAAAUAGAUCCUGAAACCGCAUGCAUACAAACAGUCGGAGCCUCGCAAGGGGUGACGGCGUACCUUUUGUAUAAUGGGUCAGCGACUUACGUUCAGUAGCAAGCUUAACCGAAUAGGGCAGGCGUAGCGAAAGCGAGUCCGAAUAGGGCGUUCAGUUGCUGGGCGUAGACCCGAAACCAGGUGAUCUAUCCAUGGCCAGGAUGAAGGUGCGGUAACACGUACUGGAGGUCCGAACCCACUAACGUUGAAAAGUUAGGGGAUGAGCUGUGGAUAGGGGUGAAAGGCUAAACAAACCUGGAAAUAGCUGGUUCUCUCCGAAAACUAUUUAGGUAGUGCCUCGUGUCUCACCUUCGGGGGUAGAGCACUGUCAUGGUUGGGGGGUCUAUUGCAGAUUACCCCGCCAUAGCAAACUCCGAAUACCGAAGAGUGCAAUCACGGGAGACAGACAUCGGGUGCUAACGUCCGGUGUCAAGAGGGAAACAACCCAGACCGCCAGCUAAGGUCCCCAAAUAUGGCUAAGUGGGAAACGAAGUGGGAAGGCUAAAACAGUCAGGAGGUUGGCUUAGAAGCAGCCACCCUUUAAAGAAAGCGUAAUAGCUCACUGAUCGAGUCGUCCUGCGCGGAAGAUGUAACGGGGCUAAGCCAUAUACCGAAGCUGCGGAUGCGAGCUAGUCUCGCAUGGUAGGAGAGCGUUCCGUAAGCCUGCGAAGGUGCGUUGAAAAGCGUGCUGGAGGUAUCGGAAGUGCGAAUGCUGACAUGAGUAGCGAUAAAGGGGGUGAAAGGCCCCCUCGCCGUAAGCCCAAGGUUUCCUACGCAACGUUCAUCGGCGUAGGGUGAGUCGGCCCUAAGGCGAGGCAGAAAUGCGUAGCUGAUGGGAAGCAGGUCAAUAUUCCUGCACCAUUGUUAGAUGCGAUGGGGGGACGGAUCGCGGAAGGUUGUCCGGGUGUUGGAAGUCCCGGUCGCUGCAUUGGAGAAGGCGCUUAGGCAAAUCCGGGCGCAGGAUUCAAGGGUGUGGCGCGAGCGCUCUAGGGCGCGAAGCAAUUGGAAGUGGUUCCAAGAAAAGCCUCUAAGCUUCAGUCUAACGAUGACCGUACCGCAAACCGACACAGGUGGGCGAGAUGAGUAUUCUAAGGCGCUUGAGAGAACUCGGGAGAAGGAACUCGGCAAAUUGGUACCGUAACUUCGGGAUAAGGUACGCCCUGGUAGCUUGACUGGCCUGCGCCAGAAGGGUGAAGGGGUUGCAAUAAACUGGUGGCUGCGACUGUUUAAUAAAAACACAGCACUCUGCAAACACGAAAGUGGACGUAUAGGGUGUGACGCCUGCCCGGUGCCGGAAGAUUAAAUGAUGGGGUGCAAGCUCUUGAUUGAAGUCCCGGUAAACGGCGGCCGUAACUAUAACGGUCCUAAGGUAGCGAAAUUCCUUGUCGGGUAAGUUCCGACCUGCACGAAUGGCGUAACGAUGGCCACACUGUCUCCUCCCGAGACUCAGCGAAGUUGAAGUGUUUGUGAUGAUGCAAUCUACCCGCGGCUAGACGGAAAGACCCCAUGAACCUUUACUGUAGCUUUGCAUUGGACUUUGAACCGAUCUGUGUAGGAUAGGUGGGAGGCUAUGAAACCGGAACGCUAGUUUCGGUGGAGCCGUCCUUGAAAUACCACCCUGGUUUGUUUGAGGUUCUAACCUUGGCCCGUGAUCCGGGUCGGGGACAGUGCAUGGUAGGCAGUUUGACUGGGGCGGUCUCCUCCCAAAGCGUAACGGAGGAGUACGAAGGUACGCUAGGUACGGUCGGAAAUCGUGCUGAUAGUGCAAUGGCAUAAGCGUGCUUAACUGCGAGACCGACAAGUCGAGCAGGUGCGAAAGCAGGUCAUAGUGAUCCGGUGGUUCUGUAUGGAAGGGCCAUCGCUCAACGGAUAAAAGGUACUCUGGGGAUAACAGGCUGAUACCGCCCAAGAGUUCAUAUCGACGGCGGUGUUUGGCACCUCGAUGUCGGCUCAUCUCAUCCUGGGGCUGUAGCCGGUCCCAAGGGUAUGGCUGUUCGCCAUUUAAAGAGGUACGUGAGCUGGGUUUAAAACGUCGUGAGACAGUUUGGUCCCUAUCUGCCGUGGGCGUUGGAAGUUUGAAGGGGGCUGCUCCUAGUACGAGAGGACCGGAGUGGACGAACCUCUGGUGUACCGGUUGUGACGCCAGUCGCAUCGCCGGGUAGCUAUGUUCGGAAGAGAUAACCGCUGAAAGCAUCUAAGCGGGAAACUCGCCUUAAGAUGAGACUUCCCCGGGGACUUGAUCCCCUUGAAGGGUCGUUCGAGACCAGGACGUUGAUAGGUCGGGUGUGUAAGCGCAGUAAUGCGUUCAGCUAACCGAUACUAAUUGCCCGUACGGCUUGAUCCU
rnacentral:rRNA from 1 species